CGCGUAGGUGGUUUGGUAAGCGAGAUGUGAAAGCCCCGGGCUUAACCUGGGAACGGCAUUUCGAACUGUCAGACUAGAGUGUGGUAGAGGGUAGUGGAAUUCCCUGUGUAGCGGUGAAAUGCGUAGAUAUAGGAAGGAACACCAGCGGCGAAGGCGGCUACCUGGACCAACACUGACACUGAGGUGCGAAAGCGUGGGGAGCAAACA
rnacentral:rRNA from 1 species